AACUCUCAACAACGGAUAUCUUGGCUCUCGCAACGAUGAAGAACGCAGCGAAAUGCGAUACGUAGUGUGAAUUGCAGAAUUCCGUGAGUCAUCGAAUCUUUGAACGCACAUUGCCGGUCGAGUCUUCGGAUGAGACCACAUCUGCCUCAGCGUCG
rnacentral:rRNA from 2 species